rnacentral:rRNA from 1 species
AUGAGGCGCGCAGGGAGCCUUCUUCUCCUGCUGCUUCUGCUCUCCCUGUCUGCCUCCACCGCCGAAGCAAACAACAAGGGGAGCUUCGGCGACGACGCGGCACCCUUGACCGGCCGGAGAUGGCACCUGAGAGGACGGCGGGCAAUGGCGGACCGAGGGCACGGAGAGGCGAGGAGGGAUGAGGCCGUGGGAGCCAGGAACACAGGAGCAAAUCAAGAAGCAGGUCAUGGGUCUGCUGAAUUUGUACAUGAUGAGGCAACAACCGGCCAUCGUCAUAACCACGGCGGCGACGCGGCCGCCAUGGCGUCAGACAUGCUGAGGAUGGACUACUCCGUCUCCGUGGACGUCCACAGCCGGCGGCCCAUCAACAACGACGCUCCGUUGUAUGAGCUCGCGGACGAGAAGCCUUAG